GACAGAGGGUGCAAACGUUGUUCGGAAUUACUGGGCGUAAAGCGCACGUAGGCGGACUCGCAGGUCAAUUGUGAAAUACCUGGGCUCAACCCGGGAACUGCAGUUGAAACCGCUUGUCUUGAAUACCUGAGAGGGUGGGGGAAUACCUGGUGGAGAAGUGAAAUUCGUAGAGAUCAGGUGGAACACCGGAGGCGAAGGCGCCUGCCUGGCAGUGUAUUGACGCUGAGGUGCGAAAGUGCGGGGAGCAAACAGG
rnacentral:rRNA from 1 species